CCCUACGGGGCGCAGCAGUAGGGAAUCUUCCACAAUGGGCGAAAGCCUGAUGGAGCAACGCCGCGUGGGUGAAGAAGGUCUUCGGAUCGUAAAACCCUGUUGUUAGAGAAGAAAGUGCGUGAGAGUAACUGUUCACGUUUCGACGGUAUCUAACCAGAAAGCCACGGCUAACUACGUGCCAGCAGCCGCGGUAAUACGUAGGUGGCCAGCGUUAUCCGGAUUUAUUGGGCGUAAAGGGAACGCAGGCGGUCUUUUAAGUCUGAUGUUUAAGCCUCCGGCUUAACCGGCGUAGUGCAUUG
rnacentral:rRNA from 1 species